rnacentral:lncRNA from 1 species
GGAGUCUCUUCUGAUUGUCUGGUGCCUGUGUCAUUCCAGUUGUUCAGGGUUUGGAUACCAAUUCUGGGGAACUAAACCUCUGAGAGCUAAACUGGUGGAAUAUAACACAGAAAUGGAUGCAACGAGCUAUCUGCAGAAACAACCCCCAAGAGUUCUCGUAAAGAUGGAGGAAGAAGCCACAGGCCAAGAACGCUGCUGGCCUCCAGCAGCUGGAAAAGGCAAGGAAACAGAUUCUCCCCUAAGUCCUCCGGAAGCAACGCAGCCCUGCUGACACCUCGAUUUCGGCCUGAUUAUUUUAAGGAGCUCCCUUUGGAAGUACAGGAGGUCCUUGUUACUCAAUAAAAAUUUUAUCUUGAGAGAAGGCCACCAAAAUCAAUCCAUCUCAACAGGUGCUAAGAAGGAUGCCGAAUAAAUGUAAGACUACUCCAUGUUCUCAGAAGCUUAAAAAUCUUCUUGGAAGAACAAGAACCAUAUUUGAAAUAAAAAAGGAUCAAAAUAGAGAUGCUUUACAGAAUACCUCUCAGAAAGAGGAGAGCGGUUCACAUUGAAGCUUCUGGGGAAACUCUAUGGAAGAAAUAGGACAGAGCGCAGACGUUGAAGAAUGAGCUGAAUGUGGACACAUGCAGUGAGGACCUGCAGAGAAAGGGUCAGAGGUAACAGGUGGUUCAAUCUGUGGGCGAGUGAAAACCACCAUGUGCUCCUGCCUUCGUCCUGCACACCAGCUGCUCUGCCCUAUCCUGUACUCUUGUCAUCUCCUAAACAUUGUACGCCAGGCCCAGCACCACUCAUCUCACCUAUACUCACUCCUUAAGUGAUUUCUCCCAGUCUCAUGCUUUAGAUAGCCUUCCAAAUUUAUAAUUUCAGGCCCAGCCCUCCUUGAAGUCCAGACUCAUGUACCAACAGCCUGCUCAGCCUCUGUACCAGGGGGUCUAAAGGAACUUCAAACAAAACACGUGGUUGUCUUGCCACAACUACUCCUAUCAGCUCUAUCCAAAAUAUACACCAAAGAGGAUGGCUUCUCUGCACCUACACUGCUCCUGGCACCCUGAUCCCAGCUACGCGCCUUUCCCUUGCACUAGCACGUGAUCUCCCUAAGUGACCUCCCUGCUGCCAUUCUUGCUCCAGACUCUACUCUCCACGUAGCACCCACAGCCAUCCCCUUAAAUCAUGUAUCAGGUCUCGCUGCAUCCUUGCUUAAAACUAGUCAACACAGCUCUUCUGGGACACGUGUGAAACAAUUCCUGCUUCAAUGCCUACGUACUU